UACGAAGGGGGCUAGCGUUGCUCGGAAUCACUGGGCGUAAAGGGUGCGUAGGCGGGUUUUUAAGUCAGGGGUGAAAUCCUGGAGCUCAACUCCAGAACUGCCUUUGAUACUGAAGAUCUUGAAUCCGGGAGAGGUGAGUGGAACUGCGAGUGUAGAGGUGAAAUUCGUAGAUAUUCGCAAGAACACCAGUGGCGAAGGCGGCUCACUGGCCCGGUACUGACGCUGAGGCACGAAAGCGUGGGGAGCAAACAGG
rnacentral:rRNA from 1 species